GACGAACGCUGGCGGCGUGCUUAACACAUGCAAGUCGAACGGAAAGGCCCUGCUUUUGUGGGGUGCUCGAGUGGCGAACGGGUGAGUAACACGUGAGUAACCUGCCCUUGACUUUGGGAUAACUUCAGGAAACUGGGGCUAAUACCGGAUAGGAGCUCCUGCUGCAUGGUGGGGGUUGGAAAGUUUCGGCGGUUGGGGAUGGACUCGCGGCUUAUCAGCUUGUUGGUGGGGUAGUGGCUUUCCAGGGCUUUGACGGGUAGCCGGCCUGAGAGGGUGACCGGCCACAUUGGGACUGAGAUAGGGCCCAGACGCCUACGGGAGGCAGCAGGGGGGAAUAUUGCACAAUGGGCGGAAGCCUGAUGCAGCAACGCCGCGUGCGUGAUGACGGCCUUCGGGUUGUAAACCGCUUUCGCCUGUGACGAAGCGUGAGUGACGGUAAUGGGUAAAGAAGCACCGGCUAACUACGUG
rnacentral:rRNA from 1 species